rnacentral:rRNA from 1 species
AGCGAACGUUAGCGGCGGGCCUAACACAUGCAAGUCGAACGAGAAUGUGGACUUCGGUCCACUAGUAAAGUGGCGGACGGGUGCGUAACACGUGGGUAAUCUACCUUCCGGCGGGGGACAACAGUCCGAAAGGAUUGCUAAUACCGCAUACGUCAGCGAGAUCUACGGAUCUUGUUGGGAAAGAUGGCCUCUCCUUGGAAGCUGUCUCCGGAAGAUGAGCCCGCGGCCCACCAGCAGUUGGUGAGGUAAUGGCUCACCAAGGCUUAGACGGGUAGCUGGUCUGAGAGGAUGAUCAGCCACACUGGGACUGCGACACGGCCCAGACUCCUACGGAGGCAGCAGUGGGAAUAUUGGGCAAUGGGCGAAAGCCUGACCCAGCCACGCCGCGUG